GUCUGGGUCCUGCGCAAUAGGAUGCCGUGAACCUUGUCAGGUCCGGAAGGAAGCAGCAAUAA
rnacentral:SRP_RNA from 1 species